CAGGUAGUCUAUCUUCUCUCUUUUACACACACUAAUUCAAAAAUUUUCACACAAAUUUUCAAGCAUUGUUGAUAUUAAAAUUACUGAAAGUUUUCCUGAAAGAGUGGUGCUUCGAUCUACGGACGGGCGUCGUAUUUUCGAUGCCAAAAAGUCGUCCGUGAAAAUGGUCACUUGAUCGUCACAGGUCGAGGCUGCCACGACUGAUAUCCUUCCCUCAAUGAACAUCUGGAAGGGCAAUACAAAGAAAAUUAAAAAGGAGCGAACCGCUACGACAAGUACUGCGAGCGGUAGUACUCCGACGACAAGUGCUGGACCGGUGUUGCCUGGCUUGGGUGCGGACGAGAGUCUGCCCGAUGUUCUAGCCGGUCACGCCAUGUUGGCACAUCAGGAGCACUCGACCACUCGAGCUACAUCCUGGCAACAGCAGCAAAUUCAGCAACAGCAUCCUCAGCAUGAACAACACCAUGCCUCGCUUUACCAACCGAACCAAGCUUCCUCACAGCAACACUAUACACAUCAACAGCAUAUUCAGUAUUCUAAUCAAGCGCCGUCUCAGGUUUUUCCUAACCAAUCGUUGGGAACGCUACAACGAGGUUCGCACCAACAGCUACAACAACCAUAUACUCCUUUAGGUCUCGGGGCUCAUGGCUGCGAGUGGAGGAGUGACGGUACUGCGUAUCAGGACAGCACUCGCAGUUACCCUGUACAGUACGCGCCUUCUUACCAAGACGCUGAUCCGUGCAGCCGUUAUACUAAGCCUAACUGUUCCUAUGCGUCUCAUGAAUCCGAUUCUAAACAUCGAUAUUAUCAGUUACCUUCGAAUGCUGCUUCUGAAAGCGAAUCUCAUUUGAAUUUGAGACACUACGGAAAUCAGCCAGAAAAUGCGGAUAGUCGUUAUGCCUCUAAUUAUAUAAACCCCUCGGACACGGAUGGGAGAUACUUGGCUAUACCAGUUAGUGACGCGAGUACUGCGUUCGUUCCACAAACAACGUUGAACGUUGAAGAUGUUCGUGUUUCAUUCAACACACUUCAAGUUAGCGAUCAUGCAUCAACUGCCCGAUUUAGGAGCAUGUCAAGUGAGCCGAGGGGGGGUAGGAAAGACGCUGAGAACCGACGUGUUAGAUGUUCAUCUGCGAACAGAGUUAGACAAACUCGAUCUCGAGCGUUUCAACCGUCUUCACCAUCUGCAAAUUCUCCCUUGGCAUCUCCACCCCAAGCUAUUUCCCCUCCUCCACUUCAAAUAACGUCUCCUUCAUCAACUUGCCUAUCUCUUGUAGGAAUCGCGUCUCCACCUCCACUAGCAUCGCCUGUUGCUGUCGACCAAAGACAUUGGGAUCCUUGCGGACCACCGCCGGCAGCGGUUGCACUUGAAAAUCCUCCUGAAGAGAGAAAUUACAGUCAUCAUCAGCCAGUAUCUUCAUCAACAGGAAACUAUGGUUAUCAAGUAGAGGACUUAGAAGCACUUUUGAGUCAUUCCUCAGCUAAUCAGCCUGCUAAUUUACCAAUGGUUCUAGCAUCACCCACACGGUUGCAUCACAUGAGACGAACUCAAACUAAUGCCGGCCCUUCUAGACCAUUCCUACCUCUGGGGGUUAUAGUUAAUGCUGUAUUCAAGACCCGUGACUGGUUAUACGUCCGCACUGCUCAUGGCGCCGAAGGUUUUGUCCCAUACCACGUAUGCUUGCCUCUAGGUAUCCUCCCUACUAAGCCAUCCCAAUCUGCAGCUGAGUCUCAAGCUCCUGUCGCAGCGUGGGAGAUGCAAGAGACGCCCGUGCAGCGAGGAAGAUGUCGAGAGAGGAGACGAGCUCCCUUGCCGGCAUCGGCCAACCAAACUGACAUCCAGAAACUUCUGCCAAUUAGCAGACCAUCGGCGCCUACACCCAGAGAUUCGGGCACUCAACCUCAAUUGCAAUCUUAUUCACAGAAUCACCAAGCAUCAAGUUCUAGGAAUUGAUUUGCUGAUGAUGUGUAGUUUAAAUAUGUGAUUAUUUUUCGUUUACUAUAAUACUAUUCUUUUCUCGAGACUCUAGCUUCUUGUGUAAAAAGUAACGAGUAGAGGCUGCUCUAAACUAUUCUCAUGUUGCGCCAUCUCUCAUUCUUGGCAAAUAUUAUUUUUCCUGUCCUAUAUUUAUGGUUUGUAAAUUGCCAGGUGCAAGUAUGGUUAGUAGCCACGACAAGAAAGCUCCAACAGGGAAUUUUUCUAUUCCCUCAAUCAGCAUAAAAGAAUUUAAUUAUCAUUAGACAGCUUAAAGCUCUGGUCUCUUUUUAAUUUUAAUUCAAAUUUAAUUUUAUUUGGCUGUAAAUAAUUCUUAGACAAAUGAGAGAAUGGCCUAUCGAAGUUCGUGUGAUACCCUCGAAGGACUGCAUUCACUCACGAUGUCCGUCUUGCCAGUAUUCGAUGGGAUGCGAGGUUUGGAUUGGAUGCGCCAGUAUUCGAUUGGAUGUGAGGUUUGGGUUGGAUGCGCCAGUAUUCGAUUGGGUGCGAGGUUUGGAUUGGAUGCGCCAGUAUUCGGUUGGAUGCGAGGUUUUCUCCAGUUUAGAUGAACCUCCUCCUGUGGAAGACGGUGGAGUUGAAGCACUUCACCGUAUCGUGAUGUAAGAAGCAUUGUAAGUUGUGUUAUUGUGUAGAAUAGAGUGAUUCUUCUUAGCUCAACAUUGUUACCAUUCCGUCGCCAUUUGUAUUCAAUAGUUUGACUUAUUAAGCUGGUCUCGAAUGUUGUCUUUGUAUUGAAGGAUUGUUAUGCGUUUGAUCAUUGAUGUAGUUACUUCCUGUGUACAACGGGAGUGCAUGUUGCGAUUGCGGGACACUUCAUUUGUCUCAUUUCUUUCCAUCCAUUCCUCCACUUAUUUUUAUCUAUUAGUAGUCCGAUAUCCAUCUCGAAUUCAAUGAACUUUCAGUUCUUUAUUAUUAUUUUUUUCUAUCAAAGUGAAUGACGACCUUAGGAAUAGGUUAACUCCAACAUUGUUCGAGUAAAGCUAUGAUAAAAGAAAUGUUAUCUGAAGUCUAUUUUUGACUCAGCAUAUUCACAGUAUAAUGUAUAUUUUACUUUGUCCUCGCACGGUGAGAGUGCUCAGUUCAAUUCAUCUUCAUUCGUUCGCUAUGAAGAGAGGAAAAAAGUUUAUUACAAAGGCCCUUUUUACCUUUUCAUUACGGAGCUACUGCUAUUUUAAGCUAGGUUUUCUGUGUUAUUCAAGCAGUUAGUCUUCAGCAAUUAAUUUUGACCAAAUUCUUGCCAAUCACUUUAGAAAUGGAACUAAAUUUUGCGCUUUAUUCUCUUAGCUAACCAGAAAUAGUCCAUGAAUCGUACUGUGUUAAGUGCCAGCGUAAUUUUUGCGGAGAUUGUCUCGCUACUUAAAAUUUUCUUCGUGCGCCAUCGCUACUUUCUUUUUAUGUCACUGGAGUCGCAUGCAAAUCUCAGGAGUAGAAGUUUUCAUCGUAAUUAUUAUGUUUGAUGUACGCAAUUUAGUUUGUUAAAAUGGAUCUUUCAUUUGAAUACUUUAAUUUAAGAUAACACUUAAUGCGUUUAAGGUAAUUUACAUUAGGAAUUCGAGUUGCGAAAAUUUUAAGUUCGAUUUGUAGGGCACAUUGCAAUCAAGAUGGAUUUGGAAAUGUUAAAAUUAAAGGUUGAAAUCGAUGACUCUUAAAACUCACGUACCAAACGCAGAAAAGUUUUCAUAAUAUUGAAGAACUUCAAAAGCUAAAAUGUUGCCAUUGUUCCUCCAAGAGAUUUCAACGACAACCGUUGCACUCGUAGCACAUCAGAUUUCAAGCAACAUUUUUUCGGUGUCCCGUCUUUUUUGUUAUGUAAUUAAAAUAUUAGAAGAUUAACAAACAUGAAUGCAACAGUCACAACUAUUCUUACCUGCAACUUGUUAAGAAGUGAACGACUUGUAUACUAGUGUGCGACCGCCACGCUUUGUCAUCAAAAAUGUAGCCGAAAGCAUUGCUCUUCGCCCGACAGACUUGAAGCUAAUUUGAAACGGUCAUUAUGUGAUAUAUGAUAUUUUACUGAAGUGUAGCGCGUUAUACAAAUUGGUAGAGGUUCACUGUUAAGCAGAAAAAGUUGUGCAUAAUAUAUAAAAGGUACUGACUCACGUCGAAGGUACUGACUCACGUCGAAGGUACUGACUCACGUCGAAGGUACUAACACAAGUCGAAGGUUCUAACACAAGUCGAAGGUACUGACUCACGUCGAAGGUACUAACACAAGUCGAAGGUACUGACUCACGUCGAAGGUUCUGACUCAUGUCGAAGGUUCUGACUAAUGGCGAAGGUUCUGACUCAUGUCGCAUGUACUGAGUUGCAAUUCUCCGACGCUACAUAAGCUGGACGCCUCUAGCGUUCGUGUCGUGAUCGUUGUGUCUGAGGAAUGUUCAACGUUCGCAUCGAAUGCAAAUCGUGAUUAAUGUGUAACUGUAUGUGUUAUAAAUAGUACUCUAUAUCUACUUAGAUUUGAGCAUUAUGAUGUGAAAUACAUUAAUUUUAUUAGUUGAUAUUUAGUUAUAACGCGUCCGCAAUUAUUGUGCAUGUGGACUCGCAUGUUUGUAAAGCUUUAUUUAAGCCGUUGUUUCAUACUAAUUAAGUUAGUUAUCCAAUGAAAACUGAGUGAUUAAAUCAAAGUUUGCCAUCAUAAGAGUUACCAAUUGUUAAUCAAAAUAGUUCGUUAUGUUAUGUUUUCAUUAUCAAUUGUAUCGCGAGAGUUACCGAAAUACGUUAAUUUCCUUUGCAAAUAAAUGUAAUUAAAUUGGCAAUAUUAAGUCUGAUUUGGGAUUGGACAAAGUAUCUCUGAUUUGCAAGGUACAUCGUCUUGAACCGAGAUAUUCUUCCUUCAUCUCUUAGCAUUUAUACGUUUCUUAUGCAAGCUUGUUGAGGUACUAUGCACCAAACAAUCGCGUGCAAUUUAUUAAAAAUUUCGCGAUUCUGCUUAGGCUCCUCGAGCAGUCCUCAAGGGAAAUAUUGUACUACUUAUGAAAAAAACACUAUUUGAUAUC
rnacentral:misc_RNA from 1 species